rnacentral:lncRNA from 10 species
CCGGAGCGCACGGGCCCCGGGGCUCCCGGCCCCUCCACCCUAGUCCCGAGCCGCCAAGGCGGAGCGUACCCUCCAGCUCGCGGGCCUGCCCCCCACUCCCGGGGCCCCAGACCCGGCUCCGCCCUGGCGGCUGCGCCCGCCCUGCCGGGACCCGGUUUGUCUGGUUCUCCCCGCGUGGCUAGUUUCUCGAAUUUCUUCUCCCUUUCUCCCUCUUCCCCGACCUCCGGGACCCUCCCUUUCGCCCCGGCUCCCCGGGCCCCCACGGGGGGCGUCUCGACGCUGUGCGGCCGCCGAGUUUCGGUUGUUCCAGAAGAAACCUGGGAAACAAAAGACUAUGUUUGGAACACGAUGUGGAGAAAGCCAGAACUUAUUCAAACACUUCAGCAGCUGCAAAUUUCAAGAGCCUACUGUACUGAAGGCUGUUCUGCAGUUACAUUCCCCUCUGGGAGACAGUAAACUGGCCUUUCAGUUUGUACAUCAGCAUCUGGUGAUCUUGGUUAAUGUGAAUCAGUCCCCCUAGACCUGACCACUCCUGCACAAACUAAUAAACCUACAAAGCUA